rnacentral:rRNA from 1 species
UACAGAGGUCUCAAGCGUUGUUCGGAUUCAUUGGGCGUAAAGGGUGCGUAGGUGGCGCUGUAAGUCGGGUGUGAAAUUUCGGAGCUUAACUCCGAAACUGCAUUCGAUACUGCGGUGCUUGAGGACUGGAGAGGAGACUGGAAUUCAUGGUGUAGCAGUGAAAUGCGCAGAUAUCAGGAGGAACACCGGUGGCGAAGGCGGGUCUCUGGGCCGACACUGACGCUGAGGCGCGAAAGCCAGGGGAGCGAACGGG